CAUCGCUUCAGGGCGGGGUGUAAUUCCCCACCGGUGGUAAGUUAGGCUGAUCAACUGAUCAAGACCUAAUCAGCCCACGAGCCUAUCAUAUUCAAUUCAUGAUUCGCAGAUUUGGUGAAAUACCAAAGCCGACGGUAUAGUCCGGAUGAAAGAAGACGACG
rnacentral:ncRNA from 2 species